CAUCUCAUGAGUCUUACUAUUUGUAAUUUUCUUACCCCUGUAGUGAUUAUCAAAAGUAGUGGGCCAUCAUUGAAAGAUUACCCUUGUAAUUGCAUUGUGGAAUAUGCAUUCAUUAUUCAAAGAAAGGGCGACAUUCCAAGCACUCACACUUUCUCUCCUUGCUUGCUAAAUUGGUUGACAAACUAAAGAAGUCAAUGGAGGAUGAAAUUCAUUUUCUCAAGGGAUGGGUUUCAGAACUUGAAAGUGAUCUUGUGUCAAAGUCCACAAAAGUUACAUCUGCAGUUUUAAGGAAAGAAGAAGUUCUAUCUUCUGCAUUUGCUGAAAUUGACCACCUGAAUGAAGAAAAUUCUGUAAAAACGUGAGCAUUAUUGAAUGCAUAUGGAGGGUGUUUACUGUGUUGAAGUAUAUUUUUUUCUUGCAAAUGAGGGCACGCCUUAGUUGUAAUUCUCAUGAUAGGUUGAGCAAAGUAAAGUAUUGUUUAUUUAGAAAUGUGAAUGUAGGAUGCAUUGUAUGAUUUGAUUGCUAUUUGUAAUAAAUGUAUCAUUUUUUUUCUGAUUGCA